rnacentral:rRNA from 1 species
UACGUAGGGGGCAAGCGUUGUCCGGAUUUAUUGGGCGUAAAGAGCGUGUAGGCGGCCAGGUAGGUCAGCUGUGAAAACUCGAGGCUCAACCUCGAGACGUCGGUUGAAACCACCUGGCUAGAGUCCGGAAGAGGAGAGUGGAAUUCCUGGUGUAGCGGUGAAAUGCGCAGAUAUCAGGAAGAACACCCGUGGCGAAGGCGGCUCUCUGGGACGGUACUGACGCUGAGGUGCGAAAGCGUGGGGAGCAAACAGG